UACAAGGGGGUUUUGGUGACCAUGGUUACACUGAUGGAAAGGCAGGAUUUGGGGUUUUUUGUGUGAAGAGGACAAAAUUCAAAGGAUUUUUUUACAAGGGGGUUUUUUGUGUGAAGAGGACAAAAUUCAAAGGAUUUUUUUACAAGGGGGUUUUGGUGACCAUGGUUACACUGAUGGAAAGGCAGGAUUUGGGGUUUUUUGUGUGAAGGGGACAAAAUUCAACCGGUUGGCCGGUCUGCUCUUAGUGGGAGGUUUGAAAAACAUGUCCUUUGUGGUCUCUGUAACCCCCCCUAGAAGGCAAGGUUCUGUCGUGUUCAAGGUUCAUGACACUGCUCACCCAAGGUGGAGCCGAACAGCAAUGGAUUCCAUCACAGUGAUGCAGAUUGAUCAUGGAUGGGGUUUGGAGUGUUGCUUGUGCUUUCGUGUUCUGAGGUCUGGAGAGGAGGAAGCCCAGUCUCUCUGCUCUGGAGCUGUCUAGAACUCGUUCAACAUAGAGAGUCCCAUCUAGACACUUCAAGGUUGGGAGGGCAAUCAACCAGAGGAGAACACUUUUUUUAGUUUCAAAGCAAGGAGAAGGCGUAGGUAACUGUCGAUCAGGGUUGUAGGUAAGUGUUGAUCACCGAACGUGGUGGAUGCGUGGCUGUUUUUCUGAUCUUCAACUGGGAGGGCCACGUUGACACAGAUGAAAACAUUUCAGCCUAAUGUAAACAUUAGAUUUAGCCUUCCGUCGAUCUCUAAAACAGAAACCCAGAUUGUUGGGUUCUGUUGCGAGAUAUUUUUUUCAAUGUUUAUUUACUUUGGAGAGAGAGAGAGAGAGAGAGACAGAGAGAGAGAGCGAGAGAGAGUGAGCCAGGGAGGGCCGGCAGAGGAUGUGGGGUGGGCUCUGGGCUGAUAGCAGAGAGCGCAGUGUGGAGCUGAAACUCACAAACAGUGAGAUCCUGACCUCAGCUCAAGUCGGACACUCACCUACAGAGCCGCCCAGGCGCCCCAGAUUGUCUGGUGUUUCAAUCAACAAGGCUUUCUAGAUUUCAACAAAGAAACGGUGACAAAGAAAGCUGAAGUCUCCAGUGCAAUGCCAGCUAGUCAACGUAGACGAAAUAGUGCAGUGAGCCGUUCGGUUUCCUCCAAGAUUUCACAGAUGUGAACGUUUUAGAAUUUGGCCUCCGGUCUCCUUUGCCAAACAAAAGGCAACAAGCUGCAUCAUAUCGGACACGAGCGCCUUCUCCCUUGCUGUCCUCCUUUGCCAGAGGUGAGACAAGCUGAGUGUCAUCGUCAGAAAGAAGGCAGCUGACAGUUCACUGCCAAUGUGACUCUUUUCUCCAGAUGAUACUUCCGUGUGACCCAAGCCAGUGCGGUCCCCAGAAACCCAGAGUGAAUUCCAUAUUAUCUGAUAGAACGUCUUACACUUGGACUCAGAGACUCAGUAUAUUCAAGCAUGAGGAAUUGGAAACAAAAGAUAAUCAGGAGAAAAUGUAGUUUGGAUUAUUUUAUUCUACUCAGACCCAUAAAGUAGAGACAUGCAAGAAAUAUCAGUUGAACACAGGAAACAAAGACGAGGGAAGGAUGCAAGUGGUUAAUAGUGACCUGACCGGUGACUCUGACUCCUUAGCUUCAAUGGAUAGCACCGUGCUGGCCACCAGCAGGGUGGCCAGGAAACAGCGUCCCAGGCUGUGGCUCAGGAAGGGGCUGUUGCAGGUGGGACCUCGCUCCGGUCCGUGUGGUCUGUCAGCUGUCCCACUGCCCACUCAACUCCAUCCCCACCUAGUCUGGAGACCUCCCAGCCCAGGAGAACACCGUGCGGAUUGUGUCCUGCUGGACGGACUGAUCCUCUCCUCCCACUCCCCUCUGGCCUCUCACAGAAGCUGGGAUCCAGCUGAACCAGUGCUCCCCGGCCCCUCUUGGCCACCUUAACUGCACAUGUAAUUCAAACGUUCACUUCUGGUCUUCACACAGGCUCAGCCUGCACACAUCUCCUUCUUCUAUUAAAGGUCUUUCCCUACACCUGGCUGCUGAAGCAAGAA